rnacentral:lncRNA from 1 species
AUGAAAUUCCUUUAAGUGCUUGUGGGGGUCCUCAUCUGCAUAGCCACAUAAAGCAGGUAAUAAAUGAAUCAAACCAGAUUUUAACUCAAAAGUUACAUUAAUAUUUGGAAAUUCAAUGCAUAAAAGCUGCAUGUUCACAUUGGGAAUUGAUAACUCACUUAAUGUCCUUUGUUUUGCCAUGUUUUUUUUUUGGCACUUUUAGUUUGAGUUAUUUUUUUGAAUUUGCACUUAGAUUUGAUGAGCUUGACGGGUUAUCAUUUUAUCUUGUGGUCUUCCUAUUUGCCUUAGUUAUUCUAUCAAUCUCACAUUCGAAUACUAAUGCACCUGUACGUGGAGAUCUUGGCAUAAAUCAUUUCACUAUUAAAGGAAAAUUAGAUAAAACUUCCCUAGCAACAACGCCAAAAUUUGAUCGAUCAUCGGAACCUCCAAAAUAUAACUCUGACUUAAUUAUCACAAACAAAAUAAAUUUAUAGUAUGAUCGUGAAAAUCAGGUCGAAGCCAAGAGAAAUUUUAUUUAAUCUUCCUACAAUAUAUUGAAAUAAAAAAGAAUAGGUGAUUUGAAUGAAAAAUUAAAAAAGUCAUUUACUCAGUUCAAGGGUUCACAUAUCCAUUCCUAUAAAUUUGUUGAACAUUGAAGUAAAAUAAAUAUUCUUUCAUGUCAAGCAAAUAAAUUUGAUAUCCUUUAAAGCUAAGGAAAAUCGAUGAGAUUACGAUUAAAUGAAUUAGACAAAGCUCUCUUAUCAAUUUCUUACCAUCAAGAGAAUUUAACAUUGAAAGCAAUUCUCAUUCACUAGGCAGUAAUCUUAGGAAUAAAGUCUGUGCAUUUAUUCUAAGCAAAUAUUCAAAAGCUUGACAAUUUAACUUGGUUUAUUCUUCCCUAAUAAAUCAAGAUGAGAGUUGCAAUAAUCAAAUUAAUUCUUUUGCUUCUUACUCUAGUCCCUAAUAACAAUUACUAAUUAAAAGAAACUAGAAAGCAUACAUGUCAUCUCAAAAUAAUUCAAUAAGCUUAAAUAACAAUCAAUAGCAUAAUUCUGAACAAAGAAAAAUAAAUACUUGAAUAUGAAAGAAUUACAAUAAUAACGUUACUUCUCACAACUUGCUAAUGUAAAUUGUGUAUAUUCCUCUUGAACUGAAAUUAGAUAUUAGUUCACAGUUGCUGUAAAAUUGACAAAAAUAGAGAAGAAAAUAAUGUUGCAGAGCCUCUAUUUCAAUUGUGUUCUACUCUAUUUAUUCUCUCCAUUGGCUGCCGAAUUUUUUCAGAAUUCUUAGGCUAAUUAGAAGUCCUUAUACUACUUAACUCCUUCCUUAUUUAUCUGGUCCUUAAGGUUGGUUAAAUCUCUCAGAAUUUAUGUUAAAAAUAGACUCUGCUAAUGUCACAACUUUGUUGUAAUUCCAACUCUAUUGCAACUUAAACUUUGUUUCUGACUUGGUUUGUUGUAAUAUCCCACCAUCCCAACUGUAUUCUUUCAUUCAUGUCAUGUUAAAGGCUUGAUCUACACUUUUCUUGGGUCCUAAUGCCCAUAGUUUCUAUGUCAGACUCUCAACCGUAGUGGAAUGCUCGGCAUCGUUUGUUCCCUCAUCAGAUCAGGAGACCAAUCUUAUCCUUCAUAUCACAUCCAGAUUUUUACCUUCAAAAAGUUUUUAUCUGACCUUACAUCCUUCAUAAAAGUUGUAGUCCUUGAUGUGUAGAUGAUUUUAGGCUUUUGAAUGGUAUGAUUUCAAUGUCUGAGCCUCAAGAUAUGCUCGUUUGAAUCUAUAGUGUGAAACUAAAGAAUUCUACUGCAAGAAAGAUUUCAACCUGAUUUUCCAAGUCCAAAAGAACUCAGAUUUCAACCCAUAAAACCUUCCUGGAAAGCUUGAUAUGUGUAAUUUAACUUUGAUUCAGCCCAUGUUCACAUUUUGAAAUUAUAACUCGGUGAAAAACCUGUCACAAAAAGUAAUGUUCGAAAUAUAAAAUGCAGAAAUUCUUAUAUUUUAGCAAUUAAUUCACAAAAUAUCCUAGACAUGCAAAACUCAUAAAAAUAACUUUCAAUAAGCUCAGAUAAGCUCAAAAUACCUUAAAAAGCACAAUGUAAAAGAAAUAAAAACAUAUGUAUAUUUUGCACUUAUUACCGGGUAUUGUACUUCAUAAUUUGUUUCAAUUUACUUUCUAGGGAGUUAUCUUAGUCUCAUGAUCCAAGUGAUGAGUUUUGUGGGUAAGCCAUGUUGACUUGAGUCAUUUGUUUUUUGUUAAUUUCUUCCUUCAACAUUAGGUUGGUUGGAAACUGAGUUUUAUAAUUAUUUUGUUUAUUUUCUUUCAACAGGGUUAUUACGGUCUCAUGUCCUGGGUCAUGAUUUUUACGGGAUAGCAAGGUUGACUUUUUUUUUAAUUGAUUUUAUUUUCAAUUUCAUCCUUCAACAUUUGAUUGAUUAACAUUCGAACUUUAUAAUUUUCUUCGAUUUAAUUUCUAUGAAAUUAUCCUGAUCUCUUAACCCAAGUUUGGCAAGUUAACCCGAGUUGACUCGUGUUAUUUUUUAUUUUUUUUAUUUUCCUUUUCAAUUUAGUCAUUCAAUAUUGGGCUGAUUGAGAAUAGGUUUUCAUAUUGUUUUUUUCUUUUUAUGUGGUUACCAUGAUCUUAUGACCCAGGUUGUGGGUUAGGUCGGUUGACUCAAUUUUUUUAGUUAUUUUUUUUAAUUUCAUUCUUCAAUAGUGAAUUGACUAGGGAUUAGACCUCACAAUUUGUUUUAGUAAGCGUUCUAUGAGGUUAUCCCAGUCUCACGACUCGGGUCAAGGGUUUGGUCGAUUGACGCGGGUGGUUUUUUGUGUCUUUUUUUUUUAAUUUUAUCAUUCAACAUUGAGUUGAUUGAGAAUUAAGCUUCAUACUUUUUUUCUUUCUUUCUAUAGGGUUAUCAUAGGCUCAUGACCUAAGUUUGAUAAGUUAACCAGGGUUGACCCAGCUCAUUUUUUUAAUUAAAUUUAUUUUUAAUUUCAUCAUUUAUCAUUGGGUUGAUUAAGAAUUGAGUUUAAUAUUUUAUUUUAUUUUGCUUUCUAUAGGUUUAUCAGGGUCUCAUGACCUAGGAAGUGAAUUUGGUAGGUUAACCUAAGUUGGUUCGAGUUGAUUUAAUAUGUUGUUAUUUCAAUAUUUGAAAACAAUGAUGUCGUCUUGAUUUUUUUAAGUUAAAAUAUAUUUUUAUUAGUUGUUUGGGUUUUUUAUGGACCUGUCAAGUCAACUAAGUCACAUCAAAUCAAUCUCUAUAUAAUAUAUAUUUUUUUUUUGCUAAAAAACACAUCAACAAUACCAGAUAUUGUUUUAAUAUCCAAAAGAAAUUUAAUCUAAUAUAUAUUUUUUUUUUGCUAAAAAACACAUCAACAAUACCAGAGAAACUCUCAUCAAUUUUCCUAUGUAUCACAGAAGUUUCACUAAUAUAUCCCGACAUCUUUUUACCCUUAAAAAAAUUUCUCAUCACAUAACUUCAUUAGAAAUAAUUCUUUCCAUCCAACUUCACACUCACAAACUAAACAAAUAAUCUCUCUUAGUAGCCAUAAUAAAAAAAAAAAAAACAAAGAAAACCAGAACGCAAAAGAAAGGAAAAUGAAAUACUAGAUUGUAGAAACUGAACAAAUAUCUUCUCAAAGUUAUAUAAUCACUCCAAAAAGAAAACCAAUGCUCAAUGGAACCAUGUUAAACAAUCCUAAGAAAUAAAGAGAAAUACUAAAAUAAUAGAGGAGGAGGUUAGGGUUUCAUUGAUACUGCAUGAUUAUAAUAAUCUAAAAGAAUAAGUUUAACCUAAAUACAAAGAUAUUAUAUAUAAGCUAAACUGAACAAAAAAUAAAAAUAUUAUUAUACCUUUAAUAAAUAAAAUAAAAUAACUUUAUAGUUUUUAAAGAAUUUCACUGAAUUUGGAUAUGAGAUGUGUUUAAUGUGUGGGUAAUAACAUUGAUAUAUAUUUAAAUAAAGAUCCAAAUAAAUAUUUUAAAAAAUAAGUUGUAAAACAAUAAUUCAAAAAAUUACAAAAACAAAUUAUAAUAAAAUGAUUAAUAACAAUGACACCAAGAUAUUUUCUAUUGAUUAAAAUUAAUUUUUUUUUUUCAAAAUUGCUAAUUCUACAUAAUGAUUACGAUCUACCCACGUGCACAUGAUACAAAAUUGAAAUAUUAAAUUUAAUAAUCCUAGACUUUCUCUUUUAUUUCAUGUAUUAAAACUAAAAUCUCUUAUUGUAUUUUUUAAUUUUGUGCACCAAACUAGAAUAUCUUUUUAUUUAUUUAUUUACAUCUAAAAAAAUAACCUUAAUUAAUUAGCUUUAAUUGUGUUUUCCGUAUGUCUUAGAAUAAUUAAGUUUCCUAUAAUUCAAAGCCAACAAUAUAAUUUUAUAAUAUACUAUUGGAUUUUAAUACAAUAACAAGUAUUGAAUUAAAAUUGCUUGCACCACCAUUCAAUAAUAACACAGGAUUUAAAAAUAAAAAAAAAACAUUGAUGAUGAAUGACAAAAAAAUGUUUCAAAAAAUGCAACAAUAAUAACACAGAUCUUUGGAAUCAUGGAUCAUAAUAAACGCAUCCAAAAUGUAUCCCAUGCGUACUUGCUUGCACAAACACUAGGUGGCCAGUAUUUUAGAUAAUAAUUAAUUUAAUUUCAUUCUUGGAAAUAAUCAUACGCAUUUCUUCUUGGAUUUAAAUAUAAGUUAGUCCCUAUAUAUAUAUAUAUAUAUAUAUAUAUAUAUAUAUAUUAGUCUUCAUAGUUCUAGAAACUAUAUAUUUAACCCAAACUUUUUCAUCCAUUUCAUGUAAUUUUUCAAUUUCCUUUUAAGAAAUGGAGAAAAAUGGAUAAUAUGGAAAGAAUAACGAGGAAAAACAGGCUUUUUUAGUAAAAAAUAUUACUAAAUUAAGAAUGGUCAGCACUAGUCAAAUGAUUAUUUAAUUAUGUUUUAUACUAUAAGUAUCAAUUAAUUUACUUCGAUAAAUUAUGGGGAGGGAGUUAUAAUUAACUAAAUUAAGAAUGAAUGGUUGUGUUUGUUUUGGGCUCAUGUAAUCUCUGGGUUUUAGAUUUCAUGAGCCCAAAAAACUAAGUUGAAAAAUUGGCCUAAUAAAUCCAUAUGGCCUAUGGAUUUUGUUAUCGGGUGGGCUUAGCUGACAGAGCAAUUAGUUUGGAUCUAUGUUUCUGCACAACAAAGUUUUAUUAUCAAGUCUACCUCUCUCUCUCUCUCUCAAAAAAAAAAAAAAAAACAAAACAAAAAAAAAAGAUAAAUAAAUUAAAAUUAAAAGAUAGCAAUUGAUAAUUCUAAGAUAGAGCAGCAUCCCUUCUUCCUAGGCCUUCCCCCCUAAUAUACAAGUGAUUCAAUUCCUUGAAAUAUUAUCAAGUCUUUAGGCUAUUUAAUCUACACUUAUAUUCGAUUAAAAAAGAAAUCAUGUACGUGCUUGUAUCAAUAUAAUUAGUCAUAUAGAUAGGAAUAUCUAUAUUUUUUUAAAUUAUUUAUGAAAUAUUAAAUUCAGAAUGCAUCUCAAAGUGGAACAUGCCAUGAUGGGCGGCCUUGGUUUGCAUCAUUGCAGCGAAGAUGAAUGGAAAAGGGAUGGUUCGAGUUGAAUUUUAACGAAUUAUGCUCAUUACAUCAUAUUACUUACAUCCUCUAAUUAUUAGAUUUUCAUUGAUGGCCAGGGUUAUGUCAUAUACUUAUAAAUCACUCACCUAAUUUAAUUAUAAUUACCUACGGUAAAUAAUUGGGUAGAAGUUCUCUCAUAAACAUCCAUUUUCCAGUUAAUUUGGGUAAACAUUAAUCGAAUCAGGUUGACUCAAGUGAACAAUAAUUUGAUCCAUAUAUAUAAACGGAUUAGUUCAAGUCUAACCAAAACUUAAUUUCAUCGAUAUUGAAAAUUAAAAGCAUCUAAUUAGAAAAACAUCUAUGUUUUAUAGGAAAAAAGAACUAAACUCCAGUCAAAUGUCUAAGUGAAAAGCAAUAUUUACAGCUAAUAACUUUCAUAUAUGGUUACCUCCUGGUGAAAUCUUGUUUAAAAAGCAUUCGGCAAUUUCAAAGGAUAUCAUGAAGGCUUGGCAAGCAAUGCUGGCUAGCUAGUGGUAUAAUUAGAGUAUCACCAACGGGGGACCAAUCAUCCAAUAUGGGAGUCCUAAUCUCUUUGUCGUUGACAAUAAGAGGAAACAUCCAAAGUAAAACAUUAAUUAAUUAUUAACAGUCAAAUUCCUUACUGUAACAAAAGGAGAGUGGAAUGUCUAAAUUAAAGCGAGAGAACCUCAAAUUCCAUUAAACGUUACAUGGUUUUCAAGCAAAGAAGAUGACAAUUGACAAAUCCCCUUUUUAAAUGAUAUUGAUGGAUGAGAGCAGAAUAAAGUGGUGUUCCAUGAGGGGAAUAAUAUAUAUAUAUAUAUUAUAAAACAACCACUCCCAUGUUAACAACACCAAUCCCACUUCGGUCGCAGAAUCUUCCUAUAAUAGGACAAUUAAUGUAAUAAUUCAUUAAAGCAGGGAUUGUUGGUCUUCAAAUUUGUUUGCUCAGAUGGGUCCCAAUCCAGAUUCUUACGAUUCUUGAUUUGAUGUAGCUACCUACUAUGACAUGAAUUUCUUGGACAUACAUGCACCGCAAACAGAUCACAGACCUGUAAAACGAGGCUCUUUUUUGCUAAUUUUCUAACCCAGAAAUUAAGUUGCAACCUCUUCUGCUUUGAGUGAUCCAGAAUUAGCCCUCCAUCGACUCAUAUGCUAAUGUCUAAGUCAAGGAUGUGGAUAUAAUAGUUCAAAGUUUGUUAACAUGGUGUAGGUUGUUUCUGUAAAAAUAUUUUUUUAUUAAAAAUAUAUUAAAAUGAUAUUUUUUAAAGAUUUUUUUAAUUUUUGUUAUUAAUACAUUAAGAUCAUAAAAAACAAUUUAAAAAAUAUACUAAAAUGCUUGUAGUUAUGCCAAGCUAUUGGUUCAUGUCUAAUGGACUCAAAGGGUAGCUUUUUAUGUUGGGUUGGAUCAUGGUUGUUAUUUCAAAUUGUGUAAACUCGUCGAAACUUGACGUUGUAUAAUAGCUAUCUUGGUUGAUCAUGACCCUAUACCCUAAUUUGUUAUUUGGAAAAAAGAAAGAACCUAUUCUUGUUUCUUAGGCUUUCAAGGAGAUCCGAUCUUCAUUUGGCUGCUUUCAAAAUAGAUUGUACCUAGCUAGGUGCAUGAUCCCCGAAUUUGUCAUGUGUGCCUUGACAAAGAUACGAUCAUGGGCAUUCUUGUGAAAGUUUAAAAAUUGAAACCACAUGGAAACUGAGCUAGCUUCAAUCUUAUAAUAUACACAUACAGACCAGAGAGAGAGAGAGAGAGAGAGAGAUUUGCAUUGAUUAUUAUACUAAAUGCUGAAGCAUGCAUUAAAAUACAAACUCCUAUAAGGAACCAAAUCUAAUCUUGGUAGCUUCAAAUUUGGAUUAAGUACUGACCUUGAUUUGAGCAUGGGAAGAUCCUUGACAUAUAUGUUGUCAGUAAGAAAUUCUCUGAGCCAAGAAGUUCAUCGUCAAGACUUGUUAAGCUUUUGUAAGUUCCACUUUCUCCAAUAAGAAACAACCCACAUGCCAACUUUGUAUAGAGACAUGAUUUGAUCUGUUCUGCAGGAAGGAUCCUGUCCAUCUUAGCUUUUGUCAGGUUCAACCCUACAUUGAAAUU